GCCUCUGUGGUGUAGUUGGUUAUCACGUGAGUCUCAUAUAACAGAAUAUGAUCAGAAGAUCAACUUCUGAGACAUCUCAAGGUCGGGAGUUCGAUCCUCCCCGGAGGCA
rfam:Aspergillus clavatus NRRL 1 1099423829805 genomic scaffold, whole genome shotgun sequence.